CGGCAGACGGGUGAGUAACGCGUGGGAACGUGCCCUUUGGUUCGGAAUAGCCCUUGGAAACGAGGAGUAAUGCCGAAUGUGCCCUUCGGGGGAAAGAUUUAUCGCCAAAGGAUCGGCCCGCGUUAGAUUAGCUAGUUGGUGAGGUAAUGGCUCACCAAGGCGACGAUCUAUAGCUGGUCUGAGAGGAUGAUCAGCCACACUGGGACUGAGACACGGCCCAGACUCCUACGGGAGGCAGCAGUGGGGAAUCUUGGACAAUGGGCGCAAGCCUGAUCCAGCCAUUCCGCGUGGAUGAUGAAGGCCCUAGGGUUGUAAAAUCCUUUCGGCAGGGAAGAUAAUGACGGUACCUGCUAAAGAAGCCCCGGCUAACUCCGUGCCAGCAGCCGCGGUAAUACGGAGGGGGCUAGCGUUGUUCGGAAUUACUGGGCGUAAAGCGCGCGUAGGCGGAUCGAUCAGUCAGAGGUGAAAUCCCGGAGCUCAACUUCGGAACUGCCUUUGAUACUGUCGAUCUGGAGUCCGGGAGAGGUGCAUGGAAUUCCGAGUGUAGAGGUGAAAUUCGUAGAUAUUCGGAGGAACACCAGAGGCGAAGGCGAUGCACU
rnacentral:rRNA from 1 species